rnacentral:rRNA from 1 species
AUGAACGCUAGCUACAGGCUUAACACAUGCAAGUCGAGGGGCAGCAUGGUCUUAGCUUGCUAAGGCCGAUGGCGACCGGCGCACGGGUGAGUAACACGUAUCCAACCUGCCGUCUACUCUUGGACAGCCUUCUGAAAGGAAGAUUAAUACAAGAUGGCAUCAUGAGUCCGCAUGUUCACAUGAUUAAAGGUAUUCCGGUAGACGAUGGGGAUGCGUUCCAUUAGAUAGUAGGCGGGGUAACGGCCCACCUAGUCUUCGAUGGAUAGGGGUUCUGAGAGGAAGGUCCCCCACAUUGGAACUGAGACACGGUCCAAACUCCUACGGGAGGCAGCAGUGAGGAAUAUUGGUCAAUGGGCGAGAGCCUGAACCAGCCAAGUAGCGUGAAGGAUGACUGCCCUAUGGGUUGUAAACUUCUUUUAUAAAGGAAUAAAGUCGGGUAUGCAUACCCGUUUGCAUGUACUUUAUGAAUAAGGAUCGGCUAACUCCGUGCCGGCAGCCGCGGUAAUACGGAGGAUCCGAGCGUUAUCCGGAUUUAUUGGGUUUAAAGGGAGCGUAGAUGGAUGUUUAAGUCAGUUGUGAAAGUUUGCGGCUCAACCGUAAAAUUGCAGUUGAUACUGGAUAUCUUGAGUGCAGUUGAGGCAGGCGGAAUUCGUGGUGUAGCGGUGAAAUGCUUAGAUAUCACGAAGAACUCCGAUUGCGAAGGCAGCCUGCUAAGCUGCAACUGACAUUGAGGCUCGAAAGUGUGGGUAUCAAACAGGAUUAGAUACCCUGGUAGUCCACACGGUAAACGAUGAAUACUCGCUGUUUGCGAUAUACGGCAAGCGGCCAAGCGAAAGCGUUAAGUAUUCCACCUGGGGAGUACGCCGGCAACGGUGAAACUCAAAGGAAUUGACGGGGGCCCGCACAAGCGGAGGAACAUGUGGUUUAAUUCGAUGAUACGCGAGGAACCUUACCCGGGCUUAAAUUGCAGAUGAAUUACGGUGAAAGCCGUAAGCCGCAAGGCAUCUGUGAAGGUGCUGCAUGGUUGUCGUCAGCUCGUGCCGUGAGGUGUCGGCUUAAGUGCCAUAACGAGCGCAACCCUUGUUGUCAGUUACUAACAGGUCAUGCUGAGGACUCUGACAAGACUGCCAUCGUAAGAUGUGAGGAAGGUGGGGAUGACGUCAAAUCAGCACGGCCCUUACGUCCGGGGCUACACACGUGUUACAAUGGGGGGUACAGAGGGCCGCUACCACGCGAGUGGAUGCCAAUCCCAAAAACCUCUCUCAGUUCGGACUGGAGUCUGCAACCCGACUCCACGAAGCUGGAUUCGCUAGUAAUCGCGCAUCAGCCACGGCGCGGUGAAUACGUUCCCGGGCCUUGUACACACCGCCCGUCAAGCCAUGGGAGCCGGGGGUACCUGAAGUGCGUAACCGCGAGGAGCGCCCUAGGGUAAAACUGGUGACUGGGGCU